rnacentral:lncRNA from 1 species
ACUUGAACACGUAAAAAUUUUGCGAAUGCACAUAUACUCAUACAUAAAUAAUACAACAAUAAUACAUAAAUAAUACAACAAUAAUANNNNNNNNNNAUAAUACAACAAUAAUACAUAAAUAAUACAACAAUAAUACAUAAAUACACGCAAACAAAAAAAAAAAAUGCAUAAACAGAUUACAGCGUAUUAUUUCAAAACAUCUCAUUUCAAUUAUACAUAUACAUAUAUACAUAUAUUUUUUUUAUGGUAAUUUUAGCGAAUUAAGCAAUGUAAAUCAAUCAGAAGAAUUAAUCAGACUUCAAAAAGAAAAUGAAAAAUUAAGAAAUAAAAUAGAAUCUGAUACAAAUAAAGAAUCAAAGAGAGUGAAAGAACUUGAAAAAGAACUCAAGGAUUUGAAAGAAAUAAAUAACAAUUUAAAGAAUGAAGUAUUAAAAGACACAAAUAAUAACAACGCUCAAACUAAUCCACAACAGGAGAAAUAUGAAGCACAAAAUGAAAAAAUCAUCAAAUUAGAAGCUGAGCUAUUAAUUGAAAAAAAAAAUAGUACAAUUAUUGAAGAAACGACUAAAAAUAAAUUAACAAAGGAAUUUAAUGCUGCAUUGCAAAUUUUUAAAGAACAAUUACAAAUUAGGGAAAAGGAAACUGAAUAUUACAAAGAAACAAUGAAAACACAGAUAGAUACUUUUAAAGACGAACAAAAAUUAUUAAGCGAUAUUAUUCACAACUUAGGCCUAAAAUAUAAACAAUUACAAACUUAUAAUCUUUGUUUAAAGAAUGAAAUUACAGGAAUUAAAUUAAGGUAUUAUUUCACAUUUUAUUAUUAUAUUUUAUUUUUUUUUACUUGUUAAACACAUAAAAUGCUUCGUACAUAUAAACAUUUUCUCUAUGACAUAUUAUUUUAUUUUGUUUUUUUUUUAAUAUAUAUAGAACCAAAGCUUGUACAAAUUCCGACAACAAAUAAAAUCCCCGUUUUAUACA